UUUCUUACAUAAAGGGAUACUCGCCUUUGUUGGACUUCUGCUUCUGAUACUUAACCUUAUAGAUUUGCUGUAUUUCUUUGGUGAGUAUAGCAUCAUUUCCUGGGAGGUGGGAAAUAAUUGGACGGAUGGUAUUUCCAGAUGGCCUCUCCUUUUCUAAUUUCCAGGGAGAACUUGAUCAACAUAAUUUGCUUUAAUAACUUCAUUUAAUACUCCUGCUAUCCUUUUACUCCCAUAAAGACAAAGCUUGGUUUCAGAGACUUUUUUCUCCCCAGAUUUAAUUGCAGGAUCCACACUGUUGCGCUUUAUAUACUUGGGUGUGUUUCUCAGCUGCUGUCUAUUGGGGAUUGUUGGAUUGUCGGUGUGGAUCAGGUUGAAGAAAAGAAACAUAAGGCCCUUGUCAUCAGGGCAGAAUGCUAUAGCAUCAGAGAAUCACAGAGAGUCCAGCAAUUCAGGCAGAAGUAACCUUGAGGAAAUCCCACUGCAACAGACAGGAGUCUUCAACAAUACUGCUGGUGAAGAAAACCAAAGGGAGGACCUCCGAAGUUAGUUGACCUCCAAAACUCCUUUUGUUUACAUCAGAAUUUUUCUAAAAAAAGUUUUAACAAAUUGGAGGAUUAUUUUUUAAAACUGUAUGCUGCUGAAUUUAUCAAAUUCAUGGCAAUUCACAUCAUAUAGAUUUUUCAAUCUAUUUGGGGAAGUCUCAGAUGCAUCAAGUUUUUUGUGAUGCCACCUGUCCUGUGUUUAACUAUAGAAAAAAAUUAAAAAUAUUUAAUGCAUUUAGUAUUUCUUUGUAAUACAUGCAUUUAAUACAUUAUUAAUACAUGAAUAAUGACGGAUCUGCUAGUCCUAAUUGUGGUCACUAAUGAGAAUUAUUGCAAGAGUUAAGAUCUGAUAUAUUUAUAAAGGUCUGUGUAUGCUUACAAUUUUACAUGCUUACCGUAUCAAAACAAUUCAAAUAGUGAUGGAUGAGUUAUGUGUCUUCUUCUGUUGUUAUAAUUCUAAUUGCUCCUCCUGUAACUCCCUUGCUGCUUAACAGUCAGUGCC